CUGCGGAGACGGCGCGAAUCUGCUUACGAGCGGCGGUGGAAGCUGCAGGCGUGGCAUCGGGACGGGCCCGAGCAACCCGAUCGCGCCAUGAACGGUCACGUGGGCAACUUCCGGCCUCUGGUGACCUCGCCGCAAAAUGGCGGCGGCGGUGGGCUGCGCUGUAGCUUCUACGAUACGCCUAAAAUGGAGCGGGUUUUCCUUAUCAAAAGCCGGCAUACGAUUGGCGGGGUUCUCACUUCUCGCUGUAGCUGCCAUUCUGCACCAACCAGAGGGAAUCGGAUCUAGAGACGGGUGGGAUGCCCUCAUUUGUCACCCGGAGCCUUGUUCCCUCAGAACUUUUGAAAUUCCCCCACUCCCCAAAAAUGGGAAAAUUUGAGAAUGUGUAAAAUUCAUUUUGGAUGUUUUGGUCCAGCUUGGCAUUUGAUAUGCUGAAAGAUAGCUUAGUAAUUUGAAAUCGCAUGUCCCAAUGAAUGAUUGAUUUGUUGCAAAACAUUAAGAAAGUUUAGGGAGUUUGCUGAUGUUUGUAAUUUAUGGUGCGCUGCAGUGAAUACCAAGAGGCCGCCGAAAGGUAAGAGGAGGGGACAGUCAUUGAAGCACGUUAUUUUUGUGUCGGGACUGAUGAGUGGGGAAGACUGUGUAAGAUGGGAGAACAUACUCGUGUUCACCGUGGACUGGCGUAGCUGUCUCACAGCUCUAUCAAGCCGGGGUCAAUCCUUCCUUUCAGUGCUCGCUAUCUCGGGAAUGUGUACAGUUUGUAUUCCCUGUGAUGGGUGUCCACUGGUUUCCUCCAUCAUUAAGGACCCCAUCACCCGGAGUAGACUUGUUGAUGAUUGUGCAGACUGAGCCUGUUUCUAUGACUGACCGAGUGAGUAGUUAAUUGAUUUAUUUAUUUAGAUACCCUGCAGAAUAGGCACUUUGAGCCACGCCGCCCAGCAACCCUCGUUUUAACUCCAGACUGGUCACAGAACAAUUUACAAUGACCAAUUAGCUUAUCAAUCCAUACGCAUUUGGAUUGUGGGAGGCCCCCGAAGUCAUGGGGAAAAUGGAAAAAAAAAUUGAACCCUGGUCGCAGUUACUUUCUGCUGUGUUUUCCAGAAUUUUAUUAUACCAGAUUUCUAGAAUCUUCAUUUUCAUCUCAUAAAGCAUCACAAGAUGAUUUCUCAUCACAGUUUCUUUAAAUGAUCUCAUUAAAGGAUUCUUGCUCCAACUAGUUAUAACUGACACUCAUGAAUUUUGAAGCUUGGACAAGGCUUUUGCAUUUGCUUGGAGGGAUGGCUUGCAGAAGACCAAGGAAGUGACUUCAAAAACAGUCAAAGGCUUUAAACUUCUCAUCUUUUCAAUAUAGACAACUGAAGACCUGGUUUCAGCAGCACAGUCUAAUUGAAGGUGGAGGCCUCUUGCAGGUCCUAAAGUGCGAGAUUUAAUAAGGGAGCUUUUGUGGGAUCUGAAAUGUAUGCUGCCUGCAAUGAAAUGUCUUCUCCUUGGGGAUUACUGUCCUGUCAAGAUGUCAAGCAAUAAUGGCUCGAUUUUACCAUGACUCAGAGUGAUACUAUUGAAGUUCUCCUUCCUGCUAUUUUAAAUAAAUAAACAAUCUACUGUGGAUCCUCUUUACCCCCUCUCAUUUAUCAAUUUUAACAUUAAUCUGUUGAACACUAUGUUGAUCUUUGUGAGUGAUAUUUUUUUUUGCUGAAUUAAGUAGUUUUCUAUAAAAUGAAAUUGUCUAGAACCAGUGUAAUCUAAGACACCAGAAUCAGCUCUUGAAUGUUGGAGGUUGAUGACAAAUCAUUGAGGCACAUAGUCAUCAAUGGGCUCCAAACUUCAGCAUGAUCUGCUUUUAUUGCCCAUCAAAAUCUACUUUGUGUUGUUGACAGCCCUGCUAAAACCCAUUACCCUCCUUCUGUGGAUCUAAGUUUUAUGAUGAGCAGUAAUCAAAUUAGGAACACCUUUCUGGUGUGUAGUGAAGUGCAAUCUCAGAAUGGUGCAGCUAAUUUCAACAAAAUAAGAUUUUUGUUCCCUCAGUUCCUUGUGCUGCCUUGGCUUUCAUUACAGCAGCUCUUGUAUAUGGAGAACCCACAUAUAUGGGUUCCCUUGGCUGCCUUUGAAUCAAAGCCCAUGUGAUUUAUGAAGAGUCUGAGCUCUGAAGGGAAUCUUGCAGAACUAGCAAGCUGAAUCUGUGAAAUACUGCGCCACCAGGAAGCCUGUAAUGUUGCCAUAUUAAUGGUUUAUUCAUUUCUUAAAGAAAAUAAAAUCUGCAUUUGCUCGA